GUCCAAUCCGGCCUGAGGGAUGAUUCCAACAAUAAUAUAAAAUUACAGUUAUUUGAGACACAAUUUUCUAUCACUCGCUUUCAUUUCGAGUAAGAGAGUUUUCAAAGUUUUAGUGGGCUAUUUCCGGGGUUUUUGUUUGUAAUUGUGUAAUAUCGCGCGCAAAUCUAACGUUAUUCAGCAACGUCAACGUUAAUCGCUUAUUAUUAUUGAAGAUGAGUGUCACAUAAACUAAUAAAAUACCUCUGAUGGCGUUUACUUUAUUUUAACAAUACAUUUGAUGUACGUUCUCUUGUGUAGGAAACAACCGGAUCACGAGACACUACUUUUAAAAUUUUCUUCUUCAGAAGUUGACUGGUGAUCACCCAUCUACAAUCCUUCCUGAUGAAUCACACACCAUCCUCAGAGUGUUUCCAAGGCUGCUGGACACUAAAGAUCUGGUAAGUAUUGGCAUCCUUUUUUUUUUUUCAAUUAAUUAAUAUCUCUGAACUUAGUAUAUGAUUGUCAGAAAUAUGAAUUAAAGUUUUUGUUUCUGUUGCUGCAGAUAGCUCAAAGUUUUAGACUCCUCUUUGGUCCACAAACAGCUUUCGAACUGCUGGAGAAGUGGCCUACAUUCUAUAAGGAAAAGGUGAUCAGAGAAGCAGAGAACCUUGACCUUACUACAGCCUCACAGUUUGCUGAAGUCUGCCAGGAAUCAGUACCAUGAUGAAUCUUCAGAGGAUCUCCCAGAGUGGGACAGUGAUAUGACAUAUAUUUUCUGCUGCUUCUGCAUAUCCUGCCACCACAACCUUUUAAAAAAAGAAAAAACUGAAGAUCAGCGCAGCUCAGGCCAUGGACCAUCUAGCUGUAUUUCACAAGUGAAUCGGCAGCGUAGAAGAACACUUGAAGAAACUGGAGGGACAUCGCCAGCCAUAUCUCCUUGCCUCAGGAACUCACAAGUGGGCCAUCAGCAGUUACUACGUUGUGAUUGACCCGAUGCUCAUUCCAUGUCAGGGAACCAUGUCGUUGACAAGUUUUUGAAGAACUAUUUACAGCACACUUCGUUUUCAGUGUAAGCUCUGCUGAUGCUCUCAGCAACAUGAACACAUUCCUCCAGACAACAGUCUACAGUAUAGAUGUUGACACCACUGAAGAAAGUCCAAAGGUGAAAGAAACUGAGAGCCAAGAUCAUGAACAGGAACUAAGUGUUCGGUUUGCAGAGUAUUCCAUAAUGCACCUGUCAUGUUAUGUGAAGCUUUUGAUGAUACUUGAAGCUCUUCGAUUUUUGAUUGUUUUAUGCUUACAGACUGUUUUAUAUAUAUUGUAUGGCUGCAUCAUAUAGACUGCAAGCAGCAGGUAUGAGCUUUGUUUUAUGAAGUUUAAUGUUGUACAGGGUAUUUUGAGUGCCUGUCCCUGGCUUAAAUGAAAUGUGAAGCCCUGUUAAAGGAAAAAUAAUAAAAUGUAUUCAUUGCAGCACUUUGAUCUGAUUAUUGGGAUGGUAACACUA